rnacentral:lncRNA from 1 species
CAAAUAAUGAAGAUAAAAAUAUACCAAAGAGCAAAACUGUGACAAUGGUAAUACACUGUGUAUACUUCUGGGGUUUAGAUUUCCUGGGCCUGCUUUUUAAUCAAAGGUACUGGAACUACUGCCAAUGUCAAAUAUAAAAAGGAAAACUAGGAGUGGAGGAAGAAGAGGUAAAAUGAGCCUCAUAUUCUUUUAAAAUGAGACCUGAUAUAGACGAAAGCAACAGGAGUUUGAGGGGUAGCCCGAAGAGAAUGUCAGUGUAACUGAUACUAGCAGGAGCUUGAGGGGUAGCCUGAAGAGAAUCUCAGUGUAACUGAUACUAGCAGGAGCUUGAGGGGCAGAACGAAGACAAUGUCAGUGUAAACUGAUAUUAACAGGAGCUUGAGGGGUAGCCCGAAGACAAUGUCAGUGUAAACUGAUGUUAACAGGAGCUUGAGGGGUAGCCCAAAGAUAAUGUCAGUGUAACUGAUAUUAACAGGAGCUUGAGGGGUAGCCCGAAGAGAAUGUCAGUGUAAACUGAUAUUAAUAGAAGCUUGAGGGGCAGCCCGAAGACAAUGUCAGUGUAAACUGAUAUUAGCUGUUAUAAAUCUUCAUUUCAAAUCGUAAGUUUCAAGGUCUUUAAAUCAAAUUCAGCAUUUACCUUAUGAUAUCGUUCAUCAGACCUUUUCAUCACAAAACAAUUUAAUAAUCAGUAGAUGCACAGAAUUUAUAUGUUCAUUCAGGAAAUAUUUACUGAGCACCUAAUAUAUCCCAGGAACUGUGGUAGGGAUGGAGUGUAUUAAGGUACAUUAAGACAAAAUAGAAUAUCCUUGUGUUCAUGAAGCUUAUAGUCUAGUAGUCCAACAGAAAAGAGAUAAUAAAAGAAUAAACAAGCUGGGCACGGUGGCUCAUGCCUGUAAUCUCAGCACUUUGGGAGGCUGGGGCAGGAGGAUUGCUUGAGCCCUGGAGUUAGAGACCAGCCUGGGCAACACAGUGAGACCCUGACUCUACAAAAAAAUAAAAAAAUUAGCCACGUGUGGUGCAUGCACCCGUAGUCCCAGCUACUCAAGAGGCUGAUGCUUCAAGGAACCAUGUUCAUGCCACUGCACUCCAGCCUCGGCAACAGAGGGAGACUCUGUCUCAAAAUAAUUAAAUAAAUAAAUAAAAAUAAAGAAUAAAAUUAAAUUUAAAAAUACAAAAUAAAAUAAUAAACACCCAAAUAAAACUACCAUGAUAAAAAAAUUACCGUGACAACAGUAAUACACUAUGUAUACUUCCCGGGCCUCCUUUUCAUCAAACGCACUGGAGCUCCUGUCAGUUUAUUUAACUGUCAAACUGUGGGCUGAUUUAAGGGUGGUGGGCUGCCGAAAAGUCAUGUUAAAGAUGGAACAUUUAAACAAAUACCUGAUAGGUGAGUAGGAAUUAAUCAAGGGGUACAUGCAGGGAGGGAAAGGCAUUCUAUGUAAAAGAAACAGCAUUUGCAAAGGUCUGAGAUGGGAAAGGGCUUAUGAUAUUUGAAGAGCUGGAAACAAUGCUGGUAUGGCACAAGCCCAGAGAGGAGACUGGAGAGGGAGGCAGUAGAGCACGAGGGAGCUUCGAGGCCACGUUCGGACUUCACUCUAAGCAACGGGAGCCUUCUGAAGCACAGUUUUGAUAAUAUGAGGUUUUAUUUAAAAUACGACUCUUUUUGCACAGUGUUGGUUGGACACUAUUUGGCAGACAAAGAAAUGUGAGAUGUGUUUUAAAGGCCGUCUAAUUUGGAGGAUCAGAUAUGAAUACUGAGAACUAAGACUUAAGUGAGUGUGUUUUGACAAACGGCCGAAGGGAAUUUCAAGUUACGCACUAAGGGGAUUUUGCUGUUGUUGUUUUUCUAAAUUCCACUGUUUUGUUGACAAAAAAGUCUUGGCACUCAGACUUAUACCACUUAUUCCAUGUGUUAUUAAACCUUCGGUUUCCUAAACGGUUUUCAGUUUCAGUAUGGUGUUUAAUGCAGGUUCUCCCAUCAGCCAGACAGAUGUGGAUUCCCAGCCUUGCACUUACUGUCUAUGCGACAUUGGACAAGUCACAUUCUGGGCCUCAGUAAUCAUUUGUAAAAAGGUGAUAAGUUUAACCUUCACUCUUAAGGUUGCUGCGAGGAGUAAAUGAGAUAAUUUUGGUAAGUGUUUGGAUCGUCGGAGGCUCUCAAUAUUUGUCUACAUUUUUAACUUAUUAUUCGCUUCUUAGGCCAAUUCACUUAAACUAAAACUCUAGAGUGUGAUGAUUGUAUUCACCUAUAAGACCGCCCAGUUAAAAGGUGCUUUAUCCAUCUCAAAGGAAAUGAAGGUUGUGGAAUACACAGCAAUGCGAACAGACCACGGAAGCUGAUGUAACAGGAAUGUCAUGCUGAGGCAUGCAGCUCACGCAGCAGGAUGCACCCUGGCAGCAGUUACUAGCACUGUAGGCACUAGACCUCUGAACGUACUACUAUGAAAACAAUCACAUAAAACAUGAUGGGGAAAGAAAUUCUAGAAAUGGUUAGAAUUCUUUCGCAAGGCUAAUAAGAUGUUAAAUAAACCUUCCAUCUUAUACUCAUUUUGAGCUGAUGAAACAGGCAAUAAAAGUAAGCCAGUGUUCAACACGAUCAGCAGUUAAUGUUUCCUUGGGUUUAAAAAGUGAACAUGAAGGAAUAAUCUUGAGCUGUAAGUAUUUAAAACCAAAGUGAAGGAUUUUCAGUAGCUGAAAAUACAUCAUAAAAUUGGAUGCCAAAUAUACAGCUGUGCAAUCAGUGUCAUGAGUCACCUUAACAUAUAGGUGACCCAUGAGCCAAAUUAAUGAUUAAUAAAGUAAGUGCUCCUGGAAUUAGACACAUUUAAAACAUGAAUAUUAUGUUAUGCCUCCAUUCCCAGCACACACAAAGCCAAUAUGGUUCUCAAGGCAAAUGUUUUCCUUUCGGUGGCACUGACAAAGAUAUGAGCUGCAGAACUUUGAAACACUGGGUCAAUCACAAAUGGUCAUGUGGGAAAAUGGUUUAGUUCUUCAUAAAGCAUUUAGUAAUGAUGUUCAUCAUGUUUUAUGGUAUUUAGAUAGUUUCUGAAUAAAAAGUACAAUCUCUAAACACAGAAAUGCGAAACUCCGUUUUGUGCAAAACUCUUACCAUGCACAAGGCACUAUCAUCAGUGUGCUGAGACCUUCUGGAUGGGAAGGGGCACUGGAGAGAUGGAGAAAAAUGAAGCCAUGUCAGAAACAAACUACGCACACGUGUGACGUAUUUCACGAAUACACACACAAGGGAAGAGACAUAUUAAGACAUACUUUUGAAGACGUUGACAUAGAGGACCACAUUCACAAUCAUCUGGAAUUCAUGCAUUAUAAUAGUCAGUAAGUUGGUUCUGAGUACUGAUCUUCUCCCAGAGUUUAAACAACUUCAAAUACGAUCUUAUUGCCUAAAACCUUACAAAGCAAGGAGGGAACAGAAAGCUGGAGAGAGAUGUAACAAUAACAUAAAGAACCUAUGGUCAUUUAGUGAGCCAGUAACAAACAAGAAGCCCAGAGUCAUAAUUUCUAGUCUAAGUAUCUCUUCAUUUUCUUUCUUAAGCAAAAUGAAAAGUACAAUUACAAUUUUUAGAACUGUUUAUGUUAUUUUCCUGUGGAGCUUUAGUUUUCUUGAGAAUGAAUUACUUGAAAACAAUCAUCAAGAAGGAAAUAUUGGGGUAAAAAAGAAAACACACAUUAAAUUUAUCAAACUUUGGUUGUCGAAAAUGUGUUAGUAUUAUUACCAGGUGAAGAAAAGACAAGUGAACAUGCUGGAGCCAAUCUUUGAGGUAUUAUACAAAUAUAUAAUGUUCUAACAUAAAAAAACAGAAGUAGUUCUAUGUCUGAUAAAACUUUUUAAAAACCUUUCUAAUGGACAAUUGAAAACAUUUCAAACAAUACACUUUUCCAUACCAGAAACUCCUGUGCUUUAAAAACACUGAAAAUUGUUGCUUGUAAAGCCCCACGUGUUAGGUUUUCAAAUAACUUAUUUUAUGAAAAGCAAAGUCAAAAUUCACAUGAAACAACGCUUUUAUGCAUUUUUCAAGGAGGUAAUGAUCAUAAAUUAAAACAAACUGGGUCAGGCGCAGUGGAAUUAAGUGCCUGUAAUUCCAGCAGUUUGGGAGGCCGAGGCAGGUGGAUUAUGAGGUCAGGAGUUCGAGACCAGCCUGACCAACACAGUGAAACCCCGUCUCUACUGAAAAUACAAAAAUUAGCCAGGCGUGGUGGUGCACACCUGUAGUCCCAGCUACUCGGGAGGCUGAGGCAGAAGAAUCAGUUGGACCCGGGAGUCGGAGGUUGCAGCGAGCCAGUAUCGCGCCACUGCACUCCAGCCUGGGUGACAAAGUGAGACUCUGUCUCAAAAAAAAAGAAAAAGAAAAAGAAAAAACUGGUAGGUUUUUAAAGGGAAAAUGGUUAAUGAGAAAGCCAACUACAAGAAAAACAUUUAGUAAGCUUCAUUUUAACAGAUCAAAAGAGGUGUGUAGAUUUUUAAAAGGUUAAGUGAUUUAUUUUCUGUUAAUCUGUAAGAAAAAUGUACUAUUUGAUAUUAUAAAAUAAGUGUUAUCAUUGAUAGCACUGAAUCUGAAAUCCUAUGUAAGAGUCUUUUUUUGUUUAGUAGCCACUCCAUUUACCUGUACCAGGUAAAGCUCCCAGGACUCUACACACAACGCUUCAAAAGUGGAGGAGACGGGGACGGUGCCUCUGGUGGGGGUCAGGGAGGGAAAUAUCAUCUCUAGAUGGAUGUGUAUAGCUGAAAAAAGCCUUGAUCUAUAGAUUCUAGUAAACUCCUUGGCUUGUAUCAUCUCCCUCAUAAGGAGAAUAUUGUGAGGUGGAAAAAGAAAAAUGGCAAUAUUCCGAGCACUGAAAACAUGACAAUUACAUGUAAACAUUUCAUUUCCAUUGCAAAAAUAAUCAACUCCAAAGAAAAGGAGAUUACAUCAACUUACCUCACCAUCUACGCCAUCUAGGAGCGGGUGCUGUUUUUGUGGACUU